AAUAGCGUUAUGACAUCAAAGCGUUCGUUUUUUUCUCUUUCCGAACUUUGAGCUAAUUUUAAAGGCACGCAAACUUUCGAUACUCGCUAAUUUUUUUCCUUGAAAAGAUCAAGAACAGAGCACAGCAUGAAGAUGUUGACAAAUUGUCUUAACCGAGGGAUACGACAAAAAAUCAAUUUAUUAGCCCGGUUGGAAUGCCAAGCCUACAAGCUGACACGAAUCAGGUGUCUUCUAAAAGAAAUUGACCGCAUUGGCUGUCGAGAACCUCGAAAGAGGUUGAAAUCUGAAAAGACAAAGAUGUUGAGAAGAAAGAUCUUGAAGGCCAAAAAAACAAUUUCAUGUCUAAAAGAAGAGAAAAAAUCAUCUAUUCAAAAUACUAAGCGACUUAGAAGACAUAAUCAAACAACAAGUGAAAUGGUGUCUUAUUUGUUAAAGAAAAUGCGAGACGUGUGCCGACAAUCCAGUUAUAAAAUCAAAAUAUUAAACAAAUGUAGUUUGAAAUGAGUUUGGAAAGUAAAUGUGAAAAUGAGAAAAUGAAUUUAUUAUCAAGAAUUUCAAAUGAAAACUUUCCAUAUAUGUUUGACUGAUUUGUGUGCAAGUUUAAAGUUAUUGAAGAUUUCAAAGUUUCAUUUUCAAACAGUUUUGAUGUAACAGUUAUAGACAACAAAAUCAAAGAAGUCCUUGCAUAACAACAUAUCAACUGUUUUCUGUGUCUUAUACAUCCAUUGGAAUUAAAGUGAAGCACUUAGAAUACACAAAAUCAUAAUCAUUUUCCUCUUAGAGAAAAAUACUCAAUGUUGUGAUGUGACAAGUUCCAUUUGUCAAAUGCAUUCAAUUAAAAUAUUAAGAAAUAUAGAACUUCA